rnacentral:rRNA from 1 species
GAUGAACGCUGGCGGCGUGCCUAAUACAUGCAAGUCGAGCGAACGGACGAGGAGCUUGCUUCUCUGAUGUUAGCGGCGGACGGGUGAGUAACACGUGGAUAACCUACCUAUAAGACUGGGAUAACUUCGGGAAACCGGAGCUAAUACCGGAUAAUAUUUUGAACCGCAUGGUUCAAUAGUGAAAGACGGUCUUGCUGUCACUUAUAGAUGGAUCCGCGCUGCAUUAGCUAGUUGGUAAGGUAACGGCUUACCAAGGCAACGAUGCAUAGCCGACCUGAGAGGGUGAUCGGCCACACUGGAACUGAGACACGGUCCAGACUCCUACGGGAGGCAGCAGUAGGGAAUCUUCCGCAAUGGGCGAAAGCCUGACGGAGCAACGCCGCGUGAGUGAUGAAGGUCUUCGGAUCGUAAAACUCUGUUAUUAGGGAAGAACAAAUGUGUAAGUAACUGUGCACAUCUUGACGGUACCUAAUCAGAAAGCCACGGCUAACUACGUG